rnacentral:tRNA from 1 species
UUACGUAUAUUUGGAUUUCAAAGAAAUUUACGCUUAAAUUAACUUUUCAAUAAAUUUUACGUAUG